CCGAAUAUCUGAUGUGAGAAAUUCAAUACUGUUCAAUGGGAAAUCUUUAUUUCUAUUGAAUCGUAUGCACUUUUCUCAUAGUAAGACAUUGUAAUCCAUUGAUAUUAUAUCUUUAUUUGUUUAAAGAUGAUUUAACAUACGGACAAAAUGUUUAUGAUUAUUCUAUCAAUGAUAUGUUUUACAUGUCAUAUGAAUAAAAUCGUUUUGUACCUGUUUAAAUAGUCGAUGGAUUUUUCAAUUAAAAUCAUGCUUGCAAUUUAUUUUGCGUUUCGUAUCGUUAAUUUUUAAUUGAUGGUAGCAGAAAUGGCAUGUAUUUGAUUAACAAUGCGAUAGAUUUGGGAUGCCUUCGGGACCCGUCUUGA
rnacentral:rRNA from 1 species